rnacentral:rRNA from 1 species
AUAAUGGGUCAGCGACUUAUAUUCUGUAGCAAGGUUAACCGAAUAGGGGAGCCGAAGGGAAACCGAGUCUUAACUGGGCGUUAAGUUGCAGGGUAUAGACCCGAAACCCGGUGAUCUAGCCAUGGGCAGGUUGAAGGUUGGGUAACACUAACUGGAGGACCGAACCGACUAAUGUUGAAAAAUUAGCGGAUGACUUGUGGCUGGGGGUGAAAGGCCAAUCAAACCGGGAGAUAGCUGGUUCUCCCCGAAAGCUAUUUAGGUAGCGCCUCGUGAAUUCAUCUCCGGGGGUAGAGCACUGUUUCGGCAAGGGGGUCAUCCCGACUUACCAACCCGAUGCAAACUGCGAAUACCGGAGAAUGUUAUCACGGGAGACACACGGCGGGUGCUAACGUCCGUCGUGAAGAGGGAAACAACCCAGACCGCCAGCUAAGGUCCCAAAGUCAUGGUUAAGUGGGAAACGAUGUGGGAAGGCCCAGACAGCCAGGAUGUUGGCUUAGAAGCAGCCAUCAUUUAAAGAAAGCGUAAUAGCUCACUGGUCGAGUCGGCCUGCGCGGAAGAUGUAACGGGGCUAAACCAUGCACCGAAGCUGCGGCAGCGACGCUUAUGCGUUGUUGGGUAGGGGAGCGUUCUGUAAGCCUGUGAAGGUGUGCUGUGAGGCAUGCUGGAGGUAUCAGAAGUGCGAAUGCUGACAUAAGUAACGAUAAAGCGGGUGAAAAGCCCGCUCGCCGGAAGACCAAGGGUUCCUGUCCAACGUUAAUCGGGGCAGGGUGAGUCGACCCCUAAGGCGAGGCCGAAAGGCGUAGUCGAUGGGAAACAGGUUAAUAUUCCUGUACUUGGUGUUACUGCGAAGGGGGGACGGAGAAGGCUAUGUUGGCCGGGCGACGGUUGUCCCGGUUUAAGCGUGUAGGCUGGUUUUCCAGGCAAAUCCGGAAAAUCAAGGCUGAGGCGUGAUGACGAGGCACUACGGUGCUGAAGCAACAAAUGCCCUGCUUCCAGGAAAAGCCUCUAAGCAUCAGGUAACAUCAAAUCGUACCCCAAACCGACACAGGUGGUCAGGUAGAGAAUACCAAGGCGCUUGAGAGAACUCGGGUGAAGGAACUAGGCAAAAUGGUGCCGUAACUUCGGGAGAAGGCACGCUGAUAUGUAGGUGAAGUCCCUCGCGGAUGGAGCUGAAAUCAGUCGAAGAUACCAGCUGGCUGCAACUGUUUAUUAAAAACACAGCA